GAGAGUGGAGGGAGAAGAGGAAGGGGAGGAGGAAGACUAAUAGCAAAUAGUGGGUCAGAGAAAAUUGGUAAUGGUCGGGUAGCAGCGGAGGACUUAUUAGAGGAAGUGAAAGGACUAAAAGUGGGUAUAGUCAGUGGGAGUUAGGUCAAAGUGAAGGGAGUAGGAGAGAUAGACAAGAUAAGAAUGAGGCAAGGAGGGGGAGGCGGGAGACUGGGAAAAGCUUUCGAGUACCUCGAAAGCCUACAGGUGACUGGUUUUGUCAGCAGAAGGGGGAGAAGGCAAGUGAGUGAGAGUAUCUCAAAAAUGGAGUGGGUUGCAGAGUGAAAACCUGCGUGGAUUUGUGUGUGGUGGAGAUGAUAGUGGAUUGGUCAAGUGCAGAGAGGAAGCAGAGGAACACAGUCCAACAGGCGAGUAGAGGUUGGGGUGGGGGGGGUCUGCGGAGGAAUAAAACUGACAGGAAAGCUUUCAGCGCCUGGAGACACGAUGGCUUGCUGAGAAAAAAACAGGUCAGAGCUGCUUCUUCUCGGAGACGAUCCUCAACUGCGUCUUCAAAACUCUAUCAAAGUUUUGUGACAGUGGAGGAAGAGGAUGUUGAGGACAUAAAUGCAAAACUGAAAUUGCUAACCACCUUUAAUUUGAUUUCACUGCAUAGAGAAAGAAAAGGUCUUACCUGAUGGUGAGUAAUUUAAAAUGGCACUUUUUGUUUGGGUGGACUCGAACUGAGUUUGUGUCGCUGUGUCAGCGGUGUUUGCAUGCCUCUGCACAGAUAGGAGAGAGAUUUGUUUUGCAUGUAUGUUUUGCAUUCUGUAUGGAAGGAAACACUAAAUUAAAGUGUGGCAGGUCAUUCGCAUGGUUUAGUUGUGGUUCACAACAAAAAGCGAUUCUGUUAACCCAGCGCUACUUCUUAGCAACAAAGGAUUCAUGAGGUAUGCAGAUAAUAAACUAAAGAAGACUUAGAACUGAAACUAGCAGACUUGAUAUGAUAAUAAUGAAUAUUGUUCAAGCUAUACAGUUUGGUGUACACUUUUCAAGUUACCCUUACUUACAAUUGUAAACUUGUGUGUGUGUGUAAAAUUAAAUUCAGAAAAGUCAAUUGGAAAGUCAACAUUCUGCAUCCUCUUGAAUGCACAAUGCAUAAAUUAUUCAAAC